rnacentral:rRNA from 1 species
AGUGAACGCUGGCGGUAGGCCUAACACAUGCAAGUCGAACGGCAGCACAGUAAGAGCUUGCGCUUACGGGUGGCGAGUGGCGGACGGGUGAGGAAUACAUCGGAAUCUACUUUUUCGUGGGGGAUAACGUAGGGAAACUUACGCUAAUACCGCAUACGACCUACGGGUGAAAGCAGGGGACCUUCGGACCUUGCGCGAUCGAAUGAGCCGAUGUCGGAUUAGCUGGUUGGCGGGGUAAAGGCCCACCAAGGCGACGAUCCGUAGCUGGUCUGAGAGGAUGAUCAGCCACACUGGAACUGAGACACGGUCCAGACUCCUACGGGAGGCAGCAGUGGGGAAUAUUGGACAAUGGGCGCAAGCCUGAUCCAGCCAUGCCGCGUGGGUGAAGAAGGCCUUCGGGUUGUAAAGCCCUUUUGUUGGGAAAGAAAAGCAGCAGGUUAAUACCCCGCUGUUCUGACGGUACCCAAAGAAUAAGCACCGGCUAACUUCGUG